rnacentral:rRNA from 1 species
GACGAACCGAGCGAACGUUAUUCGGAAUCACUGGGCUUGAAGGGUGCGUAGGCGGGCCCGUCAGUCAGGGGUGAAAUCCCACGGCCCAACCGUGGAAGUGCCUCUGAUACUGCGGGCCUGGAGGGGGAUAGGGGCGUGCGGAACUUCCGGUGGAGCGGUGAAAUGCGUAGAUAUCGGGAAGAACACCCGUGGCGAAGGCGGUUCUCUGGGACGGUACUGACGCUGAGACGCGAAAGCGUGGGGAGCGAACAGG